rnacentral:rRNA from 1 species
GGUUAAGCGACUAAGCGUACACGGUGGAUGCCCUGGCAGUCAGAGGCGAUGAAGGACGUGCUAAUCUGCGAUAAGCGUCGGUAAGGUGAUAUGAACCGUUAUAACCGGCGAUUUCCGAAUGGGGAAACCCAGUGUGUUUCGACACACUAUCAUUAACUGAAUCCAUAGGUUAAUGAGGCGAACCGGGGGAACUGAAACAUCUAAGUACCCCGAGGAAAAGAAAUCAACCGAGAUUCCCCCAGUAGCGGCGAGCGAACGGGGAGCAGCCCAGAGCCUGAAUCAGUGUGUGUGUUAGUGGAAGCGUCUGGAAAGGCGCGCGAUACAGGGUGACAGCCCCGUACACAAAAAUGCACAUGCUGUGAGCUCGAUGAGUAGGGCGGGACACGUGGUAUCCUGUCUGAAUAUGGGGGGACCAUCCUCCAAGGCUAAAUACUCCUGACUGACCGAUAGUGAACCAGUACCGUGAGGGAAAGGCGAAAAGAACCCCGGCGAGGGGAGUGAAAAAGAACCUGAAACCGUGUACGUACAAGCAGUGGGAGCACGCUUAGGCGUGUGACUGCGUACCUUUUGUAUAAUGGGUCAGCGACUUAUAUUCUGUAGCAAGGUUAACCGAAUAGGGGAGCCGAAGGGAAACCGAGUCUUAACUGGGCGUUAAGUUGCAGGGUAUAGACCCGAAACCCGGUGAUCUAGCCAUGGGCAGGUUGAAGGUUGGGUAACACUAACUGGAGGACCGAACCGACUAAUGUUGAAAAAUUAGCGGAUGACUUGUGGCUGGGGGUGAAAGGCCAAUCAAACCGGGAGAUAGCUGGUUCUCCCCGAAAGCUAUUUAGGUAGCGCCUCGUGAAUUCAUCUCCGGGGGUAGAGCACUGUUUCGGCAAGGGGGUCAUCCCGACUUACCAACCCGAUGCAAACUGCGAAUACCGGAGAAUGUUAUCACGGGAGACACACGGCGGGUGCUAACGUCCGUCGUGAAGAGGGAAACAACCCAGACCGCCAGCUAAGGUCCCAAAGUCAUGGUUAAGUGGGAAACGAUGUGGGAAGGCCCAGACAGCCAGGAUGUUGGCUUAGAAGCAGCCAUCAUUUAAAGAAAGCGUAAUAGCUCACUGGUCGAGUCGGCCUGCGCGGAAGAUGUAACGGGGCUAAACCAUGCACCGAAGCUGCGGCAGCGACGCUUAUGCGUUGUUGGGUAGGGGAGCGUUCUGUAAGCCUGCGAAGGUGUGCUGUGAGGCAUGCUGGAGGUAUCAGAAGUGCGAAUGCUGACAUAAGUAACGAUAAAGCGGGUGAAAAGCCCGCUCGCCGGAAGACCAAGGGUUCCUGUCCAACGUUAAUCGGGGCAGGGUGAGUCGACCCCUAAGGCGAGGCCGAAAGGCGUAGUCGAUGGGAAACAGGUUAAUAUUCCUGUACUUGGUGUUACUGCGAAGGGGGGACGGAGAAGGCUAUGUUGGCCGGGCGACGGUUGUCCCGGUUUAAGCGUGUAGGCUGGUUUUCCAGGCAAAUCCGGAAAAUCAAGGCUGAGGCGUGAUGACGAGGUACUACGGUGCUGAAGCAACAAAUGCCCUGCUUCCAGGAAAAGCCUCUAAGCAUCAGGUAACAUCAAAUCGUACCCCAAACCGACACAGGUGGUCAGGUAGAGAAUACCAAGGCGCUUGAGAGAACUCGGGUGAAGGAACUAGGCAAAAUGGUGCCGUAACUUCGGGAGAAGGCACGCUGAUAUGUAGGUGAAGUCCCUCGCGGAUGGAGCUGAAAUCAGUCGAAGAUACCAGCUGGCUGCAACUGUUUAUUAAAAACACAGCACUGUGCAAACACGAAAGUGGACGUAUACGGUGUGACGCCUGCCCGGUGCCGGAAGGUUAAUUGAUGGGGUCAGCGCAAGCGAAGCUCUUGAUCGAAGCCCCGGUAAACGGCGGCCGUAACUAUAACGGUCCUAAGGUAGCGAAAUUCCUUGUCGGGUAAGUUCCGACCUGCACGAAUGGCGUAAUGAUGGCCAGGCUGUCUCCACCCGAGACUCAGUGAAAUUGAACUCGCUGUGAAGAUGCAGUGUACCCGCGGCAAGACGGAAAGACCCCGUGAACCUUUACUAUAGCUUGACACUGAACAUUGAGCCUUGAUGUGUAGGAUAGGUGGGAGGCUUUGAAGUGUGGACGCCAGUCUGCAUGGAGCCGACCUUGAAAUACCACCCUUUAAUGUUUGAUGUUCUAACGUUGACCCGUGAUCCGGGUUGCGGACAGUGUCUGGUGGGUAGUUUGACUGGGGCGGUCUCCUCCUAAAGAGUAACGGAGGAGCACGAAGGUUGGCUAAUCCUGGUCGGACAUCAGGAGGUUAGUGCAAUGGCAUAAGCCAGCUUGACUGCGAGCGUGACGGCGCGAGCAGGUGCGAAAGCAGGUCAUAGUGAUCCGGUGGUUCUGAAUGGAAGGGCCAUCGCUCAACGGAUAAAAGGUACUCCGGGGAUAACAGGCUGAUACCGCCCAAGAGUUCAUAUCGACGGCGGUGUUUGGCACCUCGAUGUCGGCUCAUCACAUCCUGGGGCUGAAGUAGGUCCCAAGGGUAUGGCUGUUCGCCAUUUAAAGUGGUACGCGAGCUGGGUUUAGAACGUCGUGAGACAGUUCGGUCCCUAUCUGCCGUGGGCGCUGGAGAACUGAGGGGGGCUGCUCCUAGUACGAGAGGACCGGAGUGGACGCAUCACUGGUGUUCGGGUUGUCAUGCCAAUGGCACUGCCCGGUAGCUAAAUGCGGAAGAGAUAAGUGCUGAAAGCAUCUAAGCACGAAACUUGCCCCGAGAUGAGUUCUCCCUGACCCUUUAAGGGUCCUGAAGGAACGUUGAAGACGACGACGUUGAUAGGCCGGGUGUGUAAGCGCAGCGAUGCGUUGAGCUAACCGGUACUAAUGAACCGUGAGGCUUAACCUU